AAAUAUGGAAUAAUAAAUCUAGAUACUUAUAAUUCCAACCUCCAUAUUCCUAAGUCUUGAUUUUAUAUCCCUGCAAUUUCCAAAUCCUCAAAUCUUAAUCCAUUCUAAAUCCCUAAUGAUUUUGGAAACCUCCAAAUGUCGAUUAAUUUGAUAAUCCUAAUUUCGUUGUUGACGUCUUUCAUCUUCUUGAUGUCCCACCGAAGCAUUGUUUUCAGAAAUUCAAGUCUUAAGGAGUGAUAUCGGUCAAGGAAGAAGCAUUGAAUAACUUGAAAGCCUUGGGGUCAGCUUCUGUAGGGGCUAAGCGUCCAAUUUCACCUGUUCAGACAUUGGUUGGGGGAUAUCUGCAGGAGUUGUUACGCCACUUUCCUAGUGGUAGGUGUAAACCGUAUGUGAUGAACUAUUAUUUGGCUUACCCCACGAAGCUUGGUGGGUGGUGGCAUUGGCAGUACUUGGUCUUGGAAUUGCAUUCAUCUUGCCUUCUUUUCUUCCAUCGUCUUUGCUACCAAAGAACCAUGUCCCAAUGACAGAUCAUCAUGUCUCCAAAACUUCUUGAUAAGCCUGCAUAUGGUGUGGUGUUGUUUGCUUUGAUGAUAGAAUUUUGAAAGCCCCCUUUGGCUUCAAAUUUUCCAUGUUUUCUAAAUUAUGAUCCAUCAGCCAUUUUUGUGUCUAAAUGCAAGAGAACUUUAGAAUUUAUAUAUUGUCACACAUUUAUAUAUUGUCCCACAGAAAAUAAGUGAUUUUGUUAGUUACUUACGUGUAA